AGCUUGCUUCUCUGGAUGAGUUGCGAACGGGUGAGUAACGCGUACGUAACCUGCCUGGUAGCGGGGGAUAACUAUUGGAAACGAUAGCUAAUACCGCAUAAUAGUAGAUGUUGCAUGACAUUUGCUUAAAAGGUGCAAUUGCAUCACUACCAGAUGGACCUGCGUUGUAUUAGCUAGUUGGUGGGGUAACGGCUCACCAAGGCGACGAUACAUAGCCGACCUGAGAGGGUGAUCGGCCACACUGGGACUGAGACACGGCCCAGACUCCUACGGGAGGCAGCAGUAGGGAAUCUUCGGCAAUGGACGGAAGUCUGACCGAGCAACGCCGCGUGAGUGAAGAAGGUUUUCGGAUCGUAAAGCUCUGUUGUAAGAGAAGAACGAGUGUGAGAGUGGAAAGUUCGCACUGUGACGGUAUCUUACCAGAAAGGGACGGCUAACUACGUGCCAGCAGCCGCGGUAAUACGUAGGUCCCGAGCGUUGUCCGGAUUUAUUGGGCGUAAAGCGAGCGCAGGCGGUUAGAUAAGUCUGAAGUUAAAGGCUGUGGCUUAACCAUAGUACGCUUUGGAAACUGUUUAACUUGAGUGCAAGAGGGGAGAGUGGAAUUCCAUGUGUAGCGGUGAAAUGCGUAGAUAUAUGGAGGAACACCGGUGGCGAAAGCGGCUCUCUGGCUUGUAACUGACGCUGAGGCU
rnacentral:rRNA from 1 species